rnacentral:rRNA from 1 species
AACGAACGCUGGCGGCAUGCCUAACACAUGCAAGUCGAACGAGACCUUCGGGUCUAGUGGCGCACGGGUGCGUAACGCGUGGGAACCUGCCCUUAGGUUCGGAAUAACUCCCCGAAGGGUGUGCUAAUACCGGAUAAUGUCUUCGGGCCAAAGAUUUAUCGCCUUUGGAUGGGCCCGCGUUGGAUUCGCUAGUUGGUAGGGUAAAAGCCUACCAAGGCGACGAUCCAUAGCUGGUCUGAGAGGAUGAUCAGCCACACUGGGACUGAGACACGGCCCAGACUCCUACGGGAGGCAGCAGUGGGGAAUAUUGGACAAGGGGCGAAAGCCUGAUACAGCAAUGCCGCGUGAGUGAUGCAGGCCUUAGGGUUGUAAAGCUCUUUUACCCGGGAUGAUAAUGACAGUACCGGGAGAAUAAGCGCCGGCUAACUACGUG